AUACGGAGGGUGCAAGCGUUAAUCGGAAUUGCUGGGCGUAAAGCGUACGUAGGCGGUUCGUUAAGUUAGAUGUGAAAGCCCCGGGCUUAACCUGGGAACUGCAUUUAAAACUGGCGAACUAGAGUUGAGUAGAGGGGAGUGGAAUUUCAGGUGUAGCGGUGAAAUGCGUAGAGAUCUGAAGGAACACCAGUGGCGAAGGCGACUCCCUGGACUCAAACUGACGCUGAGGUACGAAAGCGUGGGUAGCAAACGGGAUUAGAAACCCCAGUAGUCC
rnacentral:rRNA from 1 species